AGGGUUUGAUCAUGGCUCAGAUUGAACGCUGGUGGUAUGCUUAACACAUGCAAGUCGGACGGUAACAUGGUGUGCUUGCAUACUGAUGACGAGUGGCGGACGGGCGAGUAACGCGUAGGAAUCUGGCUAUAAGAGGGGGACAACCAUUGGAAACGAUGGCUAAUACCGCAUGAUACCUUUGGGUCAAAAGUGGCUACUUGUAGCGACUGCUUAUAGAUGAGCCUGCGUUAGAUUAGCUUGUUGGUGAGGUAAGGGCUCACCAAGGCCACGAUCUAUAGCUGUUCUGAGAGGAAGAUCAGCCGCACUGGGACUGAGACACGGCCCAGACUCCUACGGGAGGCAGCAGUGGGGAAUAUUGGACAAUGGGCGGAAGCCUGAUCCAGCAAUACCACGUGUGUGAAGAAGGCCUUAGGGUUGUAAAGCACUUUCAGUGGGGAGGAAGUGCGCUAGGUUAAGAGCUAGGUGUAUUGACGUUACCCACAGAAGAAGCACCGGCUAACUCCGUGCCAGCAGCCGCGGUAAUACGGAGGGUGCGAGCGUUAAUCGGAAUUACUGGGCGUAAAGGGUUCGUAGGCGGUUAGAUAAGUCAGAUGUGAAAUCCCUGGGCUCAACCUAGGAACUGCAUAUGAAACUAUUUGACUAGAGUAUAGUAGAGGAGAGGGGAAUUUCCGGUGUAGCGGUGAAAUG
rnacentral:rRNA from 1 species